CUCAUUUGCCAAUGAUGCAAAGUCUUCAGCCCCACUGCGUAGUUCUUCAGUUCGUCGGUUGAUUCUCUCGAGUUUUUCUUGGCGUUCUAGAAGCUUGUCUCUUGCUUGUCCAGCCGCUGAUGAUGCAUCCUGGACCCCAGUUUUUCUAUAUUUUGCAAUGAUUUCUUCACGUGUCCUAGGUCUGGGUUUGGCAUCAUCACCCACAGAAUCAAGCAACUUUUCUCUUUCAGUUCCUCUUUUGCUAUUUUGUGUGUUGUGAGAUGAAGUAGAAGCCACAAGAACUGGAGCUCGAUAUAGAUGAUAUUGAAAUCGAUGACCCUGUCCCUGUGGCUUCUA
rnacentral:misc_RNA from 1 species